GAUGAAGAACGUAGCGAAAUGCGAUAAGUAAUGUGAAUUGCAGAAUUCAGUGAAUCAUCGAAUCUUUGAACGCACAUUGCGCCCGCCAGUAUUCUGGCGGGCAUGCCUGUUCGAGCGUCAUUUCAACCAUCAAGCCCCCGGCUUGUGUUGGGGACCUGCGGCUGCCGCAGGCCCUGAAAACCAGUGGCGGGCUCGCUGUCACACCGAGCGUAGUAGAUUUUCAUCUCGCUCAGGGCGUGCUGCGGGUUCCGGCCGUAAAAAGCCUUAUUUACCCAAGGUUGACCUCGGAUCAGGUAGGAAGACCCGCUGAACUUAAGAAUAUCAAUAAGCGGAGGA
rnacentral:misc_RNA from 1 species